UACGUAGGGGGCGAGCGUUGUCCGGAUUCAUUGGGCGUAAAGAGCUCGUAGGCGGCUUGGCUAGUCGGGUGUGAAAACUCCAGGCUCAACCUGGAGACGCCACUCGAUACUGCCAUGGCUAGAGUCCGGUAGGGGAUCACGGAAUUCCUGGUGUAGCGGUGAAAUGCGCAGAUAUCAGGAGGAACACCCGUGGCGAAGGCGGUGGUCUGGGCCGGAACUGACGCUGAGGAGCGAAAGCGUGGGUAGCAAACAGG
rnacentral:rRNA from 1 species